rnacentral:antisense_RNA from 1 species
UGUAGGAGUGAGCCUGCUCGCGAUAGCGUUGUGUCAGAGCACAAAUAAGUGACUGACACACUGCUAUCGCGAGCAGGCUCACUCCUACA